GACGUCGAUAUUCGACGUCAUAAACACGAUCAACUUUGGUGUUUAUGACGUCGAUAUACGACGUCAUAAACACGAUCAACUUUGGUGUUUAUAACGUCGAUAUUCGAAGUGAUAAACACGAUCAACUUUGGUGUUGAUGACGUCGAUAUUCGACGUC
rnacentral:miRNA from 1 species